GGCAUGCCUAACACAUGCAAGUCGAACGAAGGCUUCGGCCUUAGUGGCGCACGGGUGCGUAACGCGUGGGAAUCUGCCCUUAGGUUCGGAAUAACAGCUGGAAACGGCUGCUAAUACCGGAUGAUGACGAAAGUCCAAAGAUUUAUCGCCUGAGGAUGAGCCCGCGUUGGAUUAGGUAGUUGGUGGGGUAAAGGCCUACCAAGCCGACGAUCCAUAGCUGGUCUGAGAGGAUGAUCAGCCACACUGGGACUGAGACACGGCCCAGACUCCUACGGGAGGCAGCAGUGGGGAAUAUUGGACAAUGGGCGAAAGCCUGAUCCAGCAAUGCCGCGUGAGUGAUGAAGGCCCUAGGGUUGUAAAGCUCUUUUACCCGGGAAGAUAAUGACUGUACCGGGAGAAUAAGCCCCGGCUAACUCCGUGCCAGCAGCCGCGGUAAUACGGAGGGGGCUAGCGUUGUUCGGAAUUACUGGGCGUAAAGCGCACGUAGGCGGCUUUGUAAGUCAGAGGUGAAAGCCUGGAGCUCAACUCCAGAACUGCCUUUGAGACUGCAUCGCUUGAAUCCAGGAGAGGUCAGUGGAAUUCCGAGUGUAGAGGUGAAAUUCGUGGAUAUUCGGAAGAACACCAGUGGCGAAGGCGGCUGACUGGACUGGUA
rnacentral:rRNA from 1 species